rnacentral:lncRNA from 1 species
GAAAGGAGGAAGUGAGAAGAAAGAAACAGGGAAAUGACAGAGUGUUGCUCAGUUGCCCAGGCUAGAGUGCAAUGGCAUGAUCUUGGCUCACUGCAGCCUCCACCUCCUGGGUUCAAGUGAUUCUCGUGCCUCAGUCUCCCAAGUAGCUGGGAUUACAGACGAAAUCUUGCUCUGUUGCCCAGGCUGGAGCACGAUGGCAUGAUCAUGGCUCACGGCAAACUCCGCCUCCCUGGUUCAAGUGAUUCUCCUGCCUCAGCCUCCUGAGUAGCUGGGAUUACAGGCAUGUGCCACCAUGCCCCGUUGGCCAGGCUGGUCUCGAACACCUUACCUCAGGUGAUCCUCCCGCCUUUGGGAUUACAGGCUGAGGAAUUACCAAGGAGGCAGGAGGUGGAGCAAAACACACCAAGCCUGAUGCCAGUCAUUGACAAUAUUAUGACCCUGCAAUGCGAUGCGGACACUAUCCAGAUUGGUAAACUGGUUCAUCUGAUCUUGUGCCCUCCACUCAGGAACUGACUCAGCGCAAGAAGACAGCUUCGACUCCUUAUGAUUUCAUCCCUAACCAAUCAGCACUCCUGGCUCACUGGCUUCCCCCAACCCACCAAAUUGUCCUUAAAAACUCUGCUCUCCAAAUGCUGGGGGAGACUGACUUGAGUAGUAAUAAAACUCUGGUCUCCCGCA